rnacentral:rRNA from 1 species
GUGCCUACGGGACGCAGCAGUGAGGAAUAUUGGUCAAUGGCCGGAAGGCUGAACCAGCCAAGCCGCGUGAAGGACGAAGGUGCCAAGCAUUGUAAACUUCUUUUGUCAAGGGACAAAAUCAGGCUCGAGAGCCUGACCGAGGGUACUUGAAGAAAAAGCAUCGGCUAACUCCGUGCCAGCAGCCGCGGUAAUACGGAGGAUGCGAGCGUUAUCCGGAUUUAUUGGGUUUAAAGGGUGCGUAGGCGGACUGUUAAGUCAGCGGUAAAAGCCCGGGGCUCAACCCCGGGGCUGCCGUUGAAACCGGG